AAUAGAUACCCGGGUAGUCCACGCUGUAAACGAUGUGAACUAGGUGUGGGCAGUAUUGACCCUGUCCGUGCCAAAGCCAACGCGAUAAGUUCACCGCCUGGGGAGUACGGUCGCAAGGCUAAAACUCAAAGGAAUUGACGGGGGCCCGCACAAGCAGCGGAGCGUGUGGUUUAAUUCGAUGCAACGCGAAGAACCUUACCUGGGCUUGACAUGACCGUAGUAGUGAACCGAAAGGGGAACGAGCCUUCGGGCCGCGGUCACAGGUGCUGCAUGGCUGUCGUCAGCUUGUGUCGUGAGAUGUUGGGUUAAGUCCCGCAACGAGCGCAACCCGCGUCGCUAGUUACAAGUGUCUAGCGAGACCGCCGGUAUCAAACCGGAGGAAGGUGCGGAUGACGUCAAGUCAGCAUGGCCUUUAUGUCCAGGGCUACACACACGCUACAAUGGCCAGUACAAAGGGCAGCGAAGGGGCGACCUGGAGCGAAUCUCAUCAAAGCUGGUCGUAGUUCGGAUUGUAGGCUGCAACCCG
rnacentral:rRNA from 1 species